UGCGCGAGUCAUUGGGACUAUGCGAAACCUAAAGGCGAAAUGAAAGUGAAGCGGAUGGGCGGCGGCACGCCGUCGCCCCGCACGCCCGGGGCGUCCCGACCUCAUUGCGAGACGGGGCGCACCCAGAGCGUACACGCUGGGACCCGAAAGAUGGUGAACUAUGCCUGGUCAGGACGAAGUCAGGGGAAACCCUGAUGGAGGUCCGUAGCGAUUCUGACGUGCAAAUCGAUCGUCGGAACUGGGUAUAGGGGCGAAAGACUAAUCGAACCAUCUAGUAGCUGGUUCCCUCCGAAGUUUCCCUCAGGAUAGCUGGCGCUCGCUCAUGCGAGUCUCAUCCGGUAAAGCGAAUGAUUAGAGGCAUUGGGGUCGAAACGGCCUCAACCUAUUCUCAAACUUUAAAUGGGUGAGAUCUCCGGCUUGCUCGAACUAUGAAGCCGCGAGACCUCGGAUCAGAGUGCCAAGUGGGCCACUUUUGGUAAGCAGAACUGGCGCUGUGGGAUGAACCAAACGCCGAGUUAAAGCGCCCAAAUCGACGCUUAUGGGAUACCAUGAAAGGCGUUG
rnacentral:rRNA from 1 species